CCUACGGGAGGGCAGCAGUGGGGAAUUUUGGACAAUGGGCGCAAGCCUGAUCCAGCCAUGCCGCGUGCGGGAAGAAGGCCUUCGGGUUGUAAACCGCUUUUGUCAGGGAAGAAACGCUUUGGGAUAAUACCCUGAGGUAAUGACGGUACCUGAAGAAUAAGCACCGGCUAACUACGUGCCAGCAGCCGCGGUAAUACGUAGGGUGCAAGCGUUAAUCGGAAUUACUGGGCGUAAAGCGUGCGCAGGCGGUUCUAUAAGACAGAUGUGAAAUCCCCGGGCUCAACCUGGGAACUGCAUUUGUGACUGUAGAGCUUGAGUGCGGCAGAGGGGGAUGGAAUUCCGCGUGUAGCAGUGAAAUGCGUAGAUAUGCGGAGGAACACCGAUGGCGAAGGCAAUCCCCUGGGCCUGCACUGACGCUCAUGCACGAAAGCGUGGGGAGCAAACAGGAUUAGAUACCCUGGUAGUCCACGCCCUAAACGAUGUCAACUGGUUNUUGGGAAGGUUCCUUCUCAGUAACGUAGCUAACGCGUGAAGUUGACCGCCUGGGGAGGACGGCGCGAGUAGAAGUACAAGAGAGUGAGNGNGAGAGAGCGAGACGACGACGAGGGAGGAGG
rnacentral:rRNA from 1 species